rnacentral:rRNA from 1 species
AUUGAACGCUGGCGGCAGGCCUAACACAUGCAAGUCGAGCGGAUGAAGGGAGCUUGCUCCUGGAUUCAGCGGCGGACGGGUGAGUAAUGCCUAGGAAUCUGCCUGGUAGUGGGGGAUAACGUCCGGAAACGGGCGCUAAUACCGCAUACGUCCUGAGGGAGAAAGUGGGGGAUCUUCGGACCUCACGCUAUCAGAUGAGCCUAGGUCGGAUUAGCUAGUUGGUGGGGUAAAGGCCUACCAAGGCGACGAUCCGUAACUGGUCUGAGAGGAUGAGCAGUCACACUGGAACUGAGACACGGUCCAGACUCCUACGGGAGGCAGCAGUGGGGAAUGUUGGACAAUGGGCGAAAGCCUGAUCCAGCCAUGCCGCGUGUGUGAAGAAGGUCUUCGGAGUGUAAAGCACUUUAAGUUGGGAGGAAGGGCAGUAAGUUAAUACCUUGCUGUUUUGACGUUACCAACAGAAUAAGCACCGGCUAACUUCGUG